rnacentral:tRNA from 1 species
UGCCGGAUACUUCAAAAAUAGAACGUGGAGCUGAUAACUCUAAAACGAAGGAGCGUUACCUUCUCUGGCGA